rnacentral:rRNA from 1 species
CCCUUAGAUGUUCUGGGCCGCACGCGCGCUACACUGAUUCAUGCAACAAGUUUUGUCCUUGGCUGAUAGGCCUGGGUAAUCUUUGAACGUGAAUCGUGAUGGGGAUAGAUGAUUGCAAUUAUUCAUCUUCAACGAGGAAUUCCUAGUAAACGCAAGUCAUCAGCUUGCAUUGAUUACGUCCCUGCCCUUUGUACACACCGCCCGCCGCACCUACCGAUUGAAUGGUCCGGUGAAAUCUUCGGAUCUGAGAGAUGUCUGAUUAAUUUCGGACGCCUUUUGGAAAAGUUGCUUAAACCUUACCAUUUAGAGGAAGGUGAAGUCGUANCA